UACGGAGGGUGCAAGCGUUAUCCGGAUUUAUUGGGUUUAAAGGGUGCGUAGGCGGCUAUUUAAGUCAGUGGUGAAAUCCUGCAGCUCAACUGUAGAACAGCCUUUGAAACUGAAUAGCUUGAGUGAUCUUGAGGUAGGCGGAAUGUGUAGUGUAGCGGUGAAAUGCUUAGAUAUUACACAGAACACCGAUUGCGAAGGCAGCUUACCAAGGGUUUACUGACGCUGACGCACGAAAGCGUGGGGAUCAAACAGG
rnacentral:rRNA from 1 species